UAUGCUCCCCAGCCCCAACCUUCAGCUCCCUCGGGACCCCUGCCUCAGGCCCCGGCCGGAGGAGGGGGUCCCUCCACAGGAACAAGGAGCCGGCGAGGAGUCACCCCUGAGGGGCCUGCGGAUUCAACUGUGGCGCUCCCCCUCAGGGCUAUUGGGGCUCCCCCUGCCGAUCCAAAUAGUCUACAGCCCCUACAGUAUUGGCCUUUUUCCUCUUCUGACCUUUACAACUGGAAAGCUCAUCACCCCCCUUUUUCAGAAAACCCUGCAGGACUCACUGGGUUGGUUGAAUCAUUAAUGUAUUCACACCAGCCGACCUGGGAUGACUGCCAGCAGCUUCUGCAGACUCUAUUCACAACCGAGGAGAGAGAGAGGAUUCUCCUCGAGGCUCGGAAAAAUGUCCGAGACGAGGCUGGGCGCCCUGUCCAAACUCCAGCUGAGAUAGAUGAAGGAUUUCCGCUAACCCGGCCCCGAUGGGAUUAUAAUACGGCAUCAGGUUACACCCCAACAGCCAGCCCUUGUUCGCUUUCGAAUGGCGAGACUCCGAGAGUGGACAAGCCGGACAGCUCACAUGGACGAGGCUGCCUCAGGGAUUCAAGAACUCGCCCACUUUGUUCGAUGAAGCCCUACACCGAGAUCUUGCUCUUUUCCGAGCCAAUAACCCACAGGUGACUCUUCUGCAAUAUGUAGAUGAUCUGCUCCUAGCUGCAGAAACACGCGAGGACUGUGAAAUUGGGACCCAAAACCUCCUGGGCGAGUUAGGUAAGCUGGGGUAUCGGGCCUCUGCUAAAAAGGCUCAGUUAUGCCAGAUAGAAGUGACCUACCUAGGAUAUGUCUUGAGAGAUGGACAACGGUGGCUCACAGAAGCCAGAAAACAAGCUGUUAUGCAGAUCCCGGCCCCAACCACUGCUCGCCAGGUAAGAGAGUUCCUGGGGACCGCCGGGUUUUGCAGACUCUGGAUUCCCGGAUUUGCCACACUGGCAGCUCCCUUAUAUCCACUAACCAAAGAGAAAGGGGAAUUCACCUGGACCAGAGAACAUCAGCUAGCCUUUGAAACUCUCAAAAAGGCACUGCUGCAGGCUCUGGCAUUGGCCCUGCCAGAUUUAAACAAACCUUUCACCCUAUACAUUGAUGAAAGAAAUGGAGUGGCAAGGGGAGUCCUUACCCAGGUUUUGGGACCAUGGAAGCGCCCGGUAGCCUACUUAUCAAAGAAACUGGACGCUGUGGCCAGUGGAUGGCCCUCCUGCCUGCGAGCGAUAGCAGCCACGGCUGUGCUAGUAAAAGAUGCUGACAAACUGACUAUGGGCCAGAAUGUUACUAUAGUGGCCCCACACUCUCUUGAGAGCAUCAUCAGGCAACCACCGGACCGCUGGAUGACCAACGCCCGAAUGACGCACUACCAGAGCCUAUUGCUGACAGAGCGAGUAAGUUUUGCACCCCCAGCCAUUCUCAACCCCGCCUCCUUACUACCUGAGGCUGACGAGGCCCCUGCACAUAAGUGUGAAGAAAUACUGGCAGAAGAGACUGGAAUCCGGCCAGACCUCACAGACCAACCUUGGCCAGGGGCGAUGACUUGGUUCACGGACGGAAGCAGCUUUGUGGUAGAAGGUAAGCGGAAGGCUGGGGCGGCAGUAGUGGAUGGAAAGGCUGUCAUAUGGGCCAGCAGUCUGCCGGAGGGUACAUCAGCUCAAAAAGCGGAACUAAUCGCAUUAAUUCAAGCCUUAAGGCUGGCAGAAGGAAGGGCUCUUAAUGUCUAUACCGACAGCCGGUACGCUUUUGCCACGGCUCAUGUACACGGAGCAAUAUACCGACACCGUGGACUGCUGACGUCUGCCGGCAAAAAUAUCAAAAAUAAAGAAGAAAUUCUCAGCUUAUUAGAAGCUGUUCAUUUGCCCCGUAGGGUGGCAAUUAUCCAUUGCCCAGGACACCAGAAGGGAACUGGGCCCGUUGAAAAGGGAAAUCAAAUGGCAGACCAAGAAGCUAAAAAAGCAGCCCAAGGGCCAAUGACUCUGGUGGUGAGAACCCAACAGCCCGCUGCUGAGGAAAUAAAUAAAAGAACCCUCACAGAAGAAGAGGGGCGAGAUUACUUAGCUAACAUACACCAUCUGACUCAUUUAGGAACUAAAAAAUUACUAAAAUUGGUUAGUAAGUCCCCCUAUUACAUUCCUGGAUUAAAAGGAAUUGUGGAAGAGAUAGUAAAAAACUGCCGUGCUUGUGCACUUACCAACGCUGAGUCUAGCAGGCUCCAGGAAGGAAAACGACUGCGAGGAGACAGACCUGGAGCCUACUGGGAAACUGACUUCACUGAGGUGAAACCGGCUAGGUGCCGCAUCAGUUUGAAGUAGGAGACGCAGUCCUGGUGAGGAGACACCGAGCGGGAAACCUAGAACCGAGGUGGAAGGGACCCUACUUGGUGCUACUGACAACGCCCACCGCGGUCAAAGUGGAAGGAAUCCCCACUUGGGUCCACGCAUCCCACGUUAAGAGAGCACCCCCUGGAGUCAGCCAUGAUGAGUGGACUUUGGAGAAGACUACUAAUCCUUUUAAGUUGCGCCUGCUUCGUAGGAGCGAUCCCAAAAGACUUCAACCCCCACAGUCCUGUUCAACAAACGUGGGAGAACUGAUCCAAGCGCUACUGAGGACUGCUGGCUAUGCCUGUCCUCGGGUCCGCCUUAUUAUGAAGGAAUCGCCUUCAAUGGAGAUUUCAACAGAACCAGCAGCCAUACUUCCUGCUCUUGGGGUACAGGACAAAAACUGACCCUGACUGAAGUAUCCGCGAGGAAUCCAGGUCUCUGUAUAGGUACCCCACCUUCCACUCACAAACACCUAUGCGGACAAAUUCAGUCCGUGUCCAGAACGGAAGCUGAUUACUAUCUUGUACCUUCCCCGGUUGGAUGGUGGGCUUGCAAUACAGGACUUACUCCCUGUGUAUCCCUGUUUUUAAUUCAUCUCAUGAUUUUUGUGUCAUGAUCCAGCUGUUACCCCGUGUAUAUUAUCACCCUGCAUCCAGUUUAGAAGAAAGCUAUGCGGGCCGGCGGUCAAAAAGAGAACCAAUUACUUUAACCCUGGCUGCAUUCAUGGGAAUAGGUAUGGCAG
rnacentral:lncRNA from 1 species